AGCAGGCUGUCCCUAUCUCUUUCUUGUUCAAAAUUAAGAGUCAGACCUUGUAGUCUUUGUAAUCUUCUGAUACAUUGAGGGGAUCUCCCAACAUUCCAGAGAGACUUGUGUUUCUCCCUUAUAUUCUUCAUUCACCAACGUUACCCAAUAGUUUUCAUUAAUAAUGUUUUUAUUCUCUGCUCCUUCAAUAACUACACUCUCUCAAACCAGUGUCUUGCUCGGUUGCUCUCAGAUUUGAGACUCAUCAGAAAAGAGAUGAUAGAUAAAUUUAUGUGAGUUUAUGAGCACUUGAGUGAAAUCCCAUAGAAGAAGAGAAGAAGAGCCCAGUUCAAAACCUUGAAGGGCACCUACAUGAAGGACUUAAUUAAGAAUCCAGCAAAGGAGACUAAAACAGGAUAAUCAGAGAAGUCCUAGGACAACCAGGAUAGUUUUGUUAUGAAAAUUAGAGAAUUUGGGUAUCAAGGAGUGCAGAGAUCUUAAGAAGAAUGAGGAUUAAGAAGAAGGCCAUUAAGAGAUUUUUGCAAUUUCAUUUGAAUGAUGAAGUUGAAAACCAGACUGUAGUUCAAAAAAAAGAGUAGGAAGAAGGGAAGUAGAAGCACCUUUUAUAGAUAGCAUUUUCAAAAAUUUCAAUCCCAAAGGGAAGAGAGAGAUAGGAAAUGAUAGCUAUCAGGGAUAGAUGGAUAAAAUGAAGGCUGUUUUUCAUUUGGGGUUGAAGGAAAGCUGCCAGUAGAUGAGGAGAGUUUGAAAACAAAAUGAAACAACGGGAAUACUAGAGAGAUUCUCUGCUGGGUGAAGGAUGAAGUAAAGAGAGCACAUAUUUUGGCAUUUCCUUCAGAAUAUAUGGGGACAACAUAUUGUCCUUUCUACACCCACUCCUGUGGUUGAGAUAUAUGUUCUCAUCUGUUGUUCUAGGAAGUGAGGUUGGUGUAGGACCUGUCACCCAUAUCCCAGACCAUGGAGAACCAGGAAAAAUCAUGACAUCACUGACUAGUGGCCUCCUGAUCCGUGAAUCCCCUGUAUAUGCUAUAGAGAGUGACAUUGGUGUAGGGCCCUUCACCCAUAUCCCAGAACAUGGAGCACCUGGAGACAUGACAUCAGUGACCAGUGAAUCUACUGUAUGUGCCAUGGGAGGUGAUGCUGGUGUGGUGCCAGACACACAUGCCCAAGGCCAUGAUGCACCAGGAAGCACAGUAGCACCAAUAAGGAGCUCCCUCACCCCUGUGUCUACUAUUAUUCCCACAGGUAAGUAGGUACCUCCUCUCUGUCUCUGUGUUGGAGGUUUAUCCUUUUUAGGGCCUUGUUUCCCAAUCUUACAGAGGAAACAUGAAAUUAUUUUAGAGAUCAAUCCUCAAGAACUCUUCUGAACCUCUGAUUCCUUUCUAUGUAUAGCCUGGAGAAGAGAAGUUUUAGAGGUAGGAGUGAGAUUCCCACUGCUAAGGUCUUUUAUAUAAGCAACCAUAGGUAUAAAGUUGGAAGGAAACUUUAAACCAUCAGGUAUUAUGGAUAGCCUCUCAUUUUACUGAUGUGGAUACUGAGGUUUAGAGAAGUAAAGUAAUUAGCUCAGGGUGACCGGAUAUGACUGGAAAGGACCCUUAAAGGUCAUCUAGCUGGAUCCCAUCUUUUUACAUAUUGGAAAAUUGGGGUGGAGAGAAGUUAUGUGACAUGCCCUAUGACACAAAAGUAGAAAGCAGCAGACGUGAGAUUUGAACCUAGGACUCUAUUAUGCUGUAUUUCAAGGUCAAGAGGAGAAGUCAGCCCUAACACCUCACAUUGAAUGGCUUCCACUUUGGGAAAGAUUCCUUCUAUGAACUCUCCCAAGUUCAUAGCAGAGAAUGUGUUUUUACAUUCUUAUUUACAUCUUCAGUAUUUAGGAUAGAGCUGGGCACAUGAUAAAUACUUAAUUAAUGGAAACUAAUUGAUUGCUUUGAUCUAAUGAGUAGAUUUGUGAGAUUCAGUUUAUUAAAAAAAUUUGUCUUAAAAAUGUAUCUUAUACACCUACAAACUGAACUUGCCUAUGGAAAAGUGAAGGAGAAUGGAAUAAGCAAUUACGUAACACCUACUAUGUGCCAGGCACUUUGACUAAGCAUUUUUUAUAGAAAUAGUAUCUCAUUUGAUCCACAGAACAACCCUAAGUGUUGGGCUUUAUAGUUAGCCCCAUUUUUCAGAUGAGAAAAAGAUGCAAGCAAUGACUGCUUGACUUUCCCAGGGUCAUACAGCUAAUGAGUUCUUAGGUCACAUUUGAACUCAGGU
ensembl:lncRNA